AGGACGAACGCUGGCGGCGUGCUUAACACAUGCAAGUCGAGCGGAAAGGCCCUUCGGGGUACUCGAGCGGCGAACGGGUGAGUAACACGUGAGUAAUCUGCCCCUAGCUCUGGGAUAGCUCCGGGAAACCGGGAUUAAUACCGGAUACGACCACCUUAGACAUCUUUUGUGGUGGAAAGAAUUUCGGCUAGGGAUGAGCUCGCGGCCUAUCAGCUUGUUGGUGGGGUAACGGCCUACCAAGGCGACGACGGGUAGCCGGCCUGAGAGGGCGACCGGCCACACUGGGACUGAGACACGGCCCAGACUCCUACGGGAGGCAGCAGUGGGAAUAUUGCGCAAUGGGCGAAAGCCUGACGCAGCGACGCCGCGUGGGGAUGAAGGCCUUCGGGUUGUAAACCCCUUUCAGCAGGGACGAAGCGAAAGUGACGGUACCUGCAGAAGAAGCGCCGGCUAACUACGUGCCAGCAGCCGC
rnacentral:rRNA from 1 species